rnacentral:rRNA from 1 species
GACAGAGGGUGCAAACGUUGUCCGGAUUUAUUGGGCGUAAAGAGCUCGUAGGCGGCUCGUUGCGUCGGCUGUGAAAACCCGCAGCUCAACUGUGGGCUUGCAGCUGAUACGGGCGGGCUGGAGUUCGGUAGGGGAGACUGGAAUUCCUGGUGUAGCGGUGAAAUGCGCAGAUAUCAGGAGGAACACCGGUGGCGAAGGCGGGUCUCUGGGCCGAUACUGACGCUGAGGAGCGAAAGCGUGGGGAGCGAACAGG